CGGGAAGCAGCUCCAUUUUUUUGAGGGCCCUUUACACAGCUCAAGGUCUGGGUCCCAGGGUCCACCUUUAUGUUCCACCAAUGAGUUUGUUCACAGGGGUGUGUGUGUGUGUGGGGGGGAUGUCCUGAUGUGUGUAAGGAAUGCAUUGUGUGAAUCUGUGUUUGUAUGUGUAAGAGCUGCAAGGUGAGUUUGUGUAUGUAUGGGAUGCAGUGUGUGCGUCUGUAAGGGAUGCACUGAGUGUGUGUAAGGGGUGCAUUGUGUGUUGCUGUGUGUAAGGGAU
rnacentral:lncRNA from 1 species